AUCGCAGCUGCCUCUAUCGUCC
rnacentral:misc_RNA from 1 species